GGAUACGGCAGCAUCCCUGUGACCCUGGUGGUGCUGGUGGUGGGGGCAGCCACCCUGUCCACGGUGGUCCUCAUGUUCCUUUGCAAAAGGUACUCGCUGUGGCGAAGGCUGUUCCCGCCCAUCCCGCGGGUGAAAGCGGAAGUGACCAGCGACUUCGUGUCAAAUCAGCUCACCUGGGUCGAGUCCCAGCCUCCACCAGACUCCCAGGAUCCCGAGGACGUCCUUGCCGUGGAGGAAACACCGUAAUUGGCCCGUGGACGAGCAGAGGGACGAGUUCCGCGCCCCGGCCCUCUCCCAAAGAUGUCCCUUGUGUCCCGGGACGGGCUCUGACCCUCCUGGGGGACAUGCUGAAGCACACCGGGUCCUCCUCAGCCUCUGCCUCCUCCCCCCAGGAAAAGAUAAGCCGGGCGCCGCCGCUCACGCCCCUACUCCCGGAUGCUCCGGAGGCUGAGGCAGGAGGAUGGCAAGGUGGAGGCCAGCCUCAGCAAC